rnacentral:rRNA from 1 species
CACGUAGGGGGCGAGCGUUGUCCGGAAUUAUUGGGCGUAAAGAGCUUGUAGGCGGUCUGUCGCGUCUGCUGUGAAAAUCCGGGGCUCAACCCCGGACUUGCAGUGGGUACGGGCAGACUAGAGUGUGGUAGGGGAGACUGGAAUUCCUGGUGUAGCGGUGAAAUGCGCAGAUAUCAGGAGGAACACCGAUGGCGAAGGCAGGUCUCUGGGCAUUACCUGACGCUGAGGAGCGAAAGCGUGGGGAUCAAACAGG